GAACUAGAAGACAAGAGUAUCACACACUUAGGACCUAGAAGACAGAAUGUCCUGAGUUUGAGGCCGGCCUUGGUUAUGGAGUGAGUUCCAGGUUGGCCAGUGUCUUAGGGUUUUACUGCUUUGAACAGACACCAUGACUAAGGCAGCUCUUAAAGGACAGCAUUUAAUUGGAGCUCACUUACAGAUUCAGAGGCUCAGUCCAUUAUCAAGACUAGCAUGGCAGGCCUGGUGCAAGAGGAACUGAGAGGUCUACAUCUUCAUCUGAAGGCUGCUAGGAGAAGACUGGGUUCCAGGCAGCUAGGGUGAGGGUCUUAAGCCCACACCCACAGUGACACACCUACCCCAACAGGGCCACACAUCCUAGUAGUGCCAGUCCCUGGGCCAAGCAUCCACAAACCUGCACAGCCAGAGUUCAUAGUCAUCAUGUCUGUCUCUAAAGGUGGGAUGGAGGAAAAGGGAGAAAGGGGAGUGUAAGGCAAGGGACUAGCUUGACUUGGUAGCAUAUAAUUUGUUACCAAGUUAGUGGACUCAGUAGUUAAAAAGUUAUUUUUCAGAAAUACCAGAUUAACACGGUAUAAAAAUUAUAUUCCACACUCACUUUUUUAUUGCCUUUAAAAAUAAAACAUUCUUUUUGUACAGUUGUAGGCUUAACAGAAAAAGUAAGCAUGAGUAAAGACCCAUCAUUACUGUGUCCCAUGCUUCUUAUAUUAAUGUGAUAACUUGUAUAGAUUAUGAACCAAUAUUAAUUGUUGUUAACCAGAGUCUAUAUUGGGGUCCUCCAUUAUAUAACUUGAAAGGUUUUAGAAGUGUAUAAUGUUACAUAUUAACCCCCAAAAAUGGUUUAUUUUCACUGCCUAAAAAUAGUCUUUCCUGGUGUGUCUGUUCAGCCUCCCUUCCCACCCAACCCUAGCAGCUCUCUUCUAGACCUUAUCUAGAAUGUCUUGUUGGGGCGUGAAGACCGAGGCCCCCUCAGGCUGUGUCUGAGAGUUCCUCUCUGAAGAGGCUCAUCCUUAGCGUAGGACUGCAAAGUGAAACGGGCCAGGGUAGUGGCCGUUAGGAAGUUUGGUUUUACUUUCACUUGUUUUAAUGAAUAACUAUGCACCCGCAUGUGGCGGGUGGGUGUAGUAUAUGUGUGAGUUCAUGUUAGUGGUGUAUUAUGUUUGGAGUCCUGAGGCCGAUGUCUGUCGGUUGCUCUCUGUCUUACUGUUUGAGACUGACUUUCUCAGCCUUCAGUUCACCAUUUGACUAGACUGGCAGUUCCUGGGAUCCCCCUGGCUCUGCUCCCCCAAGCCCUAGGGUUACAGAUGGACCACUACACCCAGCUUUUAUAUGGGUGUUGGGUACCCAAACUCGGUGGUCCUAUGUGUGCAGCAGGCACCUUACUGACAGAGCCACCUCGCAACCCUUGGCAAUCAACUUUUCGAGUUUAAAUUUUAAAAGCUCGAGGUUUUUAUCUCAUCUAAGAGACUUCUGCCACCCCAACUCCUCUCAAAUUUUCUGGAAAUCGCGUCGUUUUUACUUGUCCUUGUUGCUUCAUUAUGGUUUGUUUUUGAGAGAGCCUCACAGUAAGUUGGGGUGUCCUCAAACUCACUAUAUAAACAAGCAUGGCCGUGGAUGUCCAAUCCUUGUGCAUUCACCCCCAUUUCCCCAGGGCUGAGAUUACAGAUACCACCACCAUACCCGGUUUAUAUGGGUGCUAGGGAUGCAGCCAGAAGCUCUGGAUGUGGAAUCAUCUAGACCACUCCUUGUCCCUCUUCCCUUCAUUGGUCUGAUGCUGUUUUCAUUGCUGUAGUAAACUGUAACUGUAGAUAUGGUUAUUCAGCUGUCAGGGGAUUCUAUAAUUCAGUCACGUCAUCAGGCCCGACGAGGAUGGGUGAGGGAAACCUGAAUUUGCUGAUGGUAUCAGAACUGAGGAUGACUUAGGUAACCCUAGGACUUUGUACUUUGGGAACAAUUUUAUCUCUGUCAAGUCUAGGUACUUGGAUAGAAGGAACUUUUUCUAGAAACACACAGCCCUAUUAUCUCAGAAAUUAUAAUCCAGUGAUACUCAUUGAUGUAGCCUGCGGGUGGCCACCAGAAUAAAUACUAGGAAUAUAAACAUGAACAAGGCAAUCUAGCCCCUUCCAUUACCAAACUUACAGUACUGUUCUGUAGAGUUUAGGAGAUAAGAAUUAGACCAAAUGGCAAGGUAUUAAUGACUGUGUUCUGACCAGGCAUUCUUAACUGGGAUCUAAAUAUUUACAGUGAUACCAACUUGGGGGGCGGGGCAUCAUUACCGCAUUGGCCUCUGGUUUAUACAAUCCUCCAGCCUCAUCCUCCUAAGUGCUGGGGUUAGAAGUGUGCACCCCCAGCCCCUGCUUGUUUGUUCUUACUGUUUUAUACAGUGUCUCCUGCAUAGUACUAGCCGUUAAGGAGGGCCUUACAUGCGCCUUGCUGGCCCUCACAUUGUCAAUAGCCCACCCUCCUCAACCUAGGAUUAUAGGUAUGCAUCACCGUGUUUGGCUUUUCUGUGCUUUAAAUUACAAGCCCAGAGUCACUGGUUUCCCUCCAGGUAUCCUAAGGCUCCCACGCUUUUUCCCAGGGAUCCCUAGGAAAAAGCAGAUACCUUGCUGGAGGUUUGUGGAAUCCCUGCCUCCUGGCUCUUUCCACUCUCCCCAAGAGUAGCCGCGCGGCUCUGUCGCUAGGGGGCGCAAACCGAUCACUUCCCAGCCUAGGGGGCGGAACCAGUCGUGGCUUCCGGCUUCCGGCUUCCGGCCGAGAGGGUGGGAACCCGCAGCCGUCAUGGCAGCUGAAGAGAAGGACCCGUUGAGCUAUUUCGCGGCUUACGGGAGCAGCAGCUCCGACUCGUCGGACGAGGAGAACAGCGAGCCGGAAGACGCGGGUCGCAAGGAGGCGGCCCCGGCUCCGACGACGGGCGGCCGCGGGAAGCAGGCGGAGAAGCGGCUGCCCGGCCCCGACGAGCUAUUCCGCAGCGUGACCCGCCCGGCCUUCCUCUACAACCCGCUCAACAAGCAGAUCGACUGGGAGCGGCAUGUGGUGAAGGCGCCGGAGGAGCUUCUCCCCGAGACCCCUUCCCUUUGACGCCGAAGUGCCUGCGCUGCUGCCUCCAAGACAGUGUCUCUGCUGCAGCCUCCUGAAGGGGUCAGCCUGGCCGUAGUAUCUGAGACUGGAUUCUUCUUUGCCUCCAAAGGAAUUCAAAAUCUGGAAGUCCAACUGCGUGCCGCCCCCAGAGACCUACACUGCUGAGAAGAAGCCGCCGCCGCCAGAGCUGGACAUGGCGAUAAAAUGGUCGAACAUCUAUGAAGACAAUGGUGAUGAUGC